AAGGUAACGCCUGCCCAGUGAGAAAACUUUCUUAAACGGCCGCGGCAUAAACCGUGCAAAGGUAGCGAAAUCACUUGUCUCCUAAAUAGAGACCAGUAUGAAAGGCCACAUGAGAAAGAAACUGUCUCUUGAAGAUAGCCAAUGAAACUGAUCUGACUGUGCAAAAGCAGCCAUAAUAAAACAAGACAAAAAGACCCUGUGAAACUUUAAAUAACACGCCAACUAAAUGACGAUAUAUUUUGGGUUGGGGCAACCAAAGAGAAACAAAACCUCUUAAACAUAUCAGACAAACAAGUCAAAUUUAAAAACACGACCCAGUAAGACUGAUCAAUGGACCAAGCUACUCCAGGGAUAACAGCGCCAAAUUCUUGAAGAGUUCACAUCAACAAGAAUACUUACGACCUCGAUGUUGGAUCAGGAUAACCAAACAGUGCAAAAGCCGCUAACGGUUCGUUUGUUCAACGAUUAAUAUCCU
rnacentral:rRNA from 1 species